CCUACGGGCGGCAGCAGUGAGGAAUAUUGGUCAAUGGGCGGAAGCCUGAACCAGCCAAGUCGCGUGAGGGAAUAAGGCCCUACGGGUCGUAAACCUCUUUUGCCGGGGAGCAAGGGCGGGGACGUGUCCCGGCCCGGAGAGUACCCGGAGGAAAAGCAUCGGCUAACUCCGUGCCAGCCGCCGCGGUAAUACGGAGGAUGCGAGCGUUAUCCGGAUUGAUUGGGUUUAAAGGGUGCGUAGGCGGGCUUUUAAGUCAGCGGUAAAAAUUCGGGGCUCAACCCCGUCCGGCCGUUGAAACUGGUGGCCUUGAGUGGGCGAGAAGAAGGCGGAAUGCGUGGUGUAGCGGUGAAAUGCAUAGAUAUCACGCAGAACCCCGAUUGCGAAGGCAGCCUUCCGGCGCCCUACUGACGCUGAGGCACGAAAGUGCGGGGAUCGAACAGGAUUAGAUACCCUUGUAGUC
rnacentral:rRNA from 1 species